rnacentral:rRNA from 1 species
CAACGAGCGCAACCCCUAUUGCCAGUUGCUACCACGGUAAUGCUGGGCACUCUGGUGAGACUGCCCGUUAACGGGGAGGAAGUGGGACGACGUCAAGUCAUCAUGGCCCUUACGCCUAGGGCUACACACGUACUACAAUGGCGCAUACAAAGGGCAGCGAUACCGCGAGGUGGAGCCAAUCCCAAAAAGUGCGUCCCAGUCCGGAUUGCAGUCUGCAACUCGACUGCAUGAAGUUGGAAUCGCUAGUAAUUCGAGAUCAGCAUGCUCGGGUGAAUGCGUUCCCGGGCCUU